ensembl:lncRNA
GGUCUGGAUUGCCCUGAAGAACAUCUUUCACUUGAGUGACCUCCUAAUGUAUCCCAACCUGACUCCUCACCAGACCCAGCAGUGACUUGGGGUUUCUUUCUAGCUUAUAACUGAAGCAGAGAGCCAGUAGGAAAGGGUAGCUAGUUCAUCAUCAUGAGGUUAAAUCUAGACCAGCUCCAGCCACUUCCCACUGUAGUGCUCUAGAGCCCAAAUAACUGUAAAAGUUACACGGUUUGUAAAAGGGACAUCCAGAUGACUGUUUUUUUCUUCUGUUUUCUUCAGUUAAGAUAUACCUAUAUCCCCUGAAUACACCCACAAUAUAUAUAAUGGGGAAAACCAUUAAGUACCAAACCAAAAUCAGUGUGAUUUAAAUAAUUGGUGGGAUUUUGGUUGGAAUAGCUGUCAUUUUAAUUACAGCCUUUGCUGUUUCUUUGAAAAUCAAACUCCAUAGGGUCCUAAACCUUUCCUAGUGAGCUCUUUGCUCACCAGCCUUAUAAUACUCCUUACAUUGAGCCUUUAGGAGGAAUGGAGCUGGUUUAAGUUCUGAUAACUCAGUAGGAUUUGAGGAUGAGGCUGCUGCACUUUUUUUUUUUGAAAGAUGACCCAGAAAUGCAAAUUUCCCAGUUUUGUUAUCCACUGUAGCUUUCUGAGGAUUGUUCUGUAUGAGAGACUUGGAGAUACAGAGGUCACCAGGUUCUAGUCAAACUGGAUGGAGGAAAAAGUGCCAUGCCCCACCCCCACACCCCCUGUGAGCAGACAGCUGUGGGCAUUGGCAGCAUUUCUCCUGGGGAAGUGCAACUGUGUUGCCAGGAGUAUGGGAACUUAAGUGAUAUGGGAGCUGACCCUAGACUCUUGAGUUAGACAAGGCCGUGCUGAGGCCAGACUUGCCCAUGCUCUUCACUGCUGCUGUGGAUGAGGCACAGACAGUUCAGCCUUCAGCUGUCAAGCUGGGCCAGGAGCAGUUUCCACAUGGUUCCAGGUCCCCGCAGCAGCAGCAGCAGCAGCAGCAGCAGCAACAGCAACAGCAGCCAGGCUCUCCCUAGCUGCUGCUUGCCCUCCAGGCUGAGCCACAGUUCAGUCCAGCAGAUUCCAGUUUGCUCAGGCAUAACCACCAGCAAAGCAAGCAAGCAGACUAUGCAAGACAGGAAGUAACUAGCUGAAAUGCCAACGAAUGUUUCUUUUUUCACCUGAUACACUGUUUACUCUUAACUGUACAAAUAUAGUUUGUCCUAAGAGCCAAGAGAGGAACCUUUCCACCUACAAAUAGAAAAUGGUUGUCUGUUGGCUUUAGGCUACCUGUUACAGCUCCUCAUAGCCUGGUGUUGUAUUUAUUCAACCUGUUUACAUUAGAAUUGGAGAAGGGGCCCUGGAUCUUGGUGGGCUGCCACUGUACCCCCAAGAGCCUUUUGAUAGAGGGACUUGGGACACGUUAUGGCCUGUCAGGGAUGCUUUUACCACAAAGAAAUGGUAUGGAAUCAAGUGGGAUGAUUGAUGUAUGAUUGACACAGUACCAAAGUGCACUCUUCAAUGUAUAUGUGCCUGUUUCAGGCAAGGUCCGAGUUGAAAAUGCAGUAAAGCAGAGUCAUGAAAGCAAA